rnacentral:rRNA from 1 species
UACGUAGGGGGCAAGCGUUGUCCGGAAUUAUUGGGCGUAAAGGGCGCGUAGGCGGCUUUGCAAGUGGCGGGUGAAAUCCCUCGGCUUAACCGAGGAACUGCCUGCCAGACUGUGAGGCUUGAGACCGGGAGAGGUGAGUGGAAUUCCCAGUGUAGCGGUGAAAUGCGUAGAUAUUGGGAGGAACACCAGCGGCGAAGGCGGCGCUCUGGGCCGGUACUGACGCUGAGAAGCGAAAGCGUGGGGAGCAAACAGG